rnacentral:rRNA from 1 species
CACGCUGUAAACGAUGACGACUGGGUGUUGCGGGUAUUGACCCCCGCGGUGCCGAAGCUAACGCGUUAAGUCGUCCGCCUGGGAAGUACGGCCGCAAGGCUAAAACUCAAAGGAAUUGACGGGGGCCCGCACAAGCGGUGGAGCAUGUGGUUUAAUUCGACGCAACGCGAAGAACCUUACCCGGGCUCGAAAAUGCAGGAAGUCGUUUGAAAAGAUGAUGUGCCCGCAAGGGAACCUGUAUCAGGUGC